rnacentral:rRNA from 1 species
CCGACGGUGAGAGGUGAAAGCUAGGGGCACGAACCGGAUUAGAUACCCGGGUAGUCCUAGCCGUAAACGAUACUCGCUAGGUGUCGGCCACGGUGCGACCGUUGUCGGUGCCGUAGGGAAGCCGUGAAGCGAGCCACCUGGGAAGUACGGCCGCAAGGCUGAAACUUAAAGGAAUUGGCGGGGGAGCACCACAACGGGUGGAGCUUGCGGUUUAAUUGGAUUCAACGCCGGAAAUCUUACCGGGACCGACAGCAACAUGAAGGCCAGGCUGAAGACUUUGCCGGAUUAGCUGAGAGGUGGUGCAUGGCCGUCGUCAGUUCGUACUGUGAAGCAUCCUGUUAAGUC